rnacentral:rRNA from 1 species
UACGUAGGGGGCAAGCGUUGUCCGGAGUUACUGGGCGUAAAGCGCACGCAGGCGGUCUCUUAAGUUUGGAGUGACAGUUGGUGGCUUAACUGCCAAAGUGCUUCGAAAACUGAGAGACUUGAGGGCUUCAGAGGGACACGGAAUUCCGAGUGUAGAGGUGAAAUUCGUAGAUAUUCGGAAGAACACCAGUGGCGAAGGCGGCUCACUGGACCGGUAUUGACGCUGAGGUGCGAAAGCGUGGGGAGCAAACAGG